rnacentral:tRNA from 1 species
GCUGCGGUGGUGGAAUUGGUAGACACGCUAGCUUGAGGGGCUAGUGGGAGUUAAAUCCCGUGAAGGUUCAAGUCCUUUCCGCAGCA